GAUGAACGCUGGCGGCGUGCCUAAUACAUGCAAGUCGAGCGAACGGACGAGAAGCUUUCUCCUCUGCGGUUAGCGGCGGACGGGUGAGUAACACGUGGAUAACCUACCUAUAAGACUGGGAUAACUACGGGAAACCGGAGCUAAUACCGGAUAAUAUUUUGAACCGCAGAGUUCAAAAGUGAAAGACGGUCUUGCUGUCACUAUUAGAUGGAUUCGCGCUGCAUUAGCUAGUUGGUAAGGUAACGGCUUACCAAGGCAACGAUGCAUAGCCGACCUGAGAGGGUGAUCGGCCACACUGGAACUGAGACACGGUCCAGACUCCUACGGGAGGCAGCAGUAGGGAAUCUUGCGCAAUGGGCGAAAGCCUGACGGAGCAACGCCGCGUGAGUGAUGAAGGUCUUCGGGUCGUAAAGCUCUGUUAUUAGGGAAGAACAGCUGUGUAAGUAACUGUGCACAUCUUGACGGUACCUAAUGAGAAAGCCACGGCUAACUACGUG
rnacentral:rRNA from 1 species